rnacentral:ncRNA from 2 species
CUCAGGUGAGGCGGUGUUGGUUCCUGUCUAUGACAGGCGAAGAGGGAAUGCGACAGGCUUUGCGACCAUUCAUUGGUCCAAGUCGAAGCGCAGCCGCCCCCGCGACCGUGACCGGAGAGGUCCCCGUGCCACUGGCCCAAAGGCCGGGAAGGCAGGCGGGCCACCGGGGCAGACGCCCCGAAAUCCGCAAGCCGGGAGACCUGCCAACGCAUGUUGACGCAA